GACGAAAAGUCUGAUGGAGCAACGCCGCGUGAGUGAAGAAGGGUUUCGGCUCGUAAAACUCUGUUGUUAAAGAAGAACAUAUCUGAGAGUAACUGUUCAGGUAUUGACGGUAUUUAACCAGAAAGCCACGGCUAACUACGUGCCAGCAGCCGCGGUAAUACGUAGGUGGCAAGCGUUGUCCGGAUUUAUUGGGCGUAAAGCGAGCGCAGGCGGUUUUUUAAGUCUGAUGUGAAAGCCUUCGGCUCAACCGAAGAAGUGCAUCGGAAACUGGGAAACUUGAGUGCAGAAGAGGACAGUGGAACUCCAUGUGUAGCGGUGAAAUGCGUAGAUAUAUGGAAGAACACCAGUGGCGAAGGCGGCUGUCUGGUCUGUAACUGACGCUGAGGCUCGAAAGUAUGGGUAGCAAACAGGAUUAGAUACCCUGGUAGUCCAUACCGUAAACGAUGAAUGCUAAGUGUUGGAGGGUUUCCGCCCUUCAGUGCUGCAGCUAACGCAUUAAGCAUUCCGCCUGGGGAGUACGGCCGCAAGGCUGAAACUCAAAGGAAUUGACGGGGGCCCGCACAAGCGGUGGAGCAUGUGGUUUAAUUCGAAGCUACGCGAAGAACCUUACCAGGUCUUGACAUACUAUGCAAAUCUAAGAGAUUAGACGUUCCCUUCGGGGACAUGGAUACAGGUGGUGCAUGGUUGUCGUCAGCUCGUGUCGUGAGAUGUUGGGGUUAAGUCCCGCAACGAGCGCAACCCUUAUUAUCAGUUGCCAGCAUUAAGUUGGGCACUCUGGUGAGACUGCCGGUGACAACCGGAAG
rnacentral:rRNA from 2 species